UACGGAGGAUGCGAGCGUUAUCCGGAUUUACUGGGCGUAAAGGGAGCGUAGGCGGACUUUUAAGUGAGAUGUGAAAUACUCGGGCUCAACUUGAGUGCUGCAUUUCAAACUGGAAGUCUAGAGUGCAGGAGAGGAGAAUGGAAUUCCUAGUGUAGCGGUGAAAUGCGUAGAGAUUAGGAAGAACACCAGUGGCGAAGGCGAUUCUCUGGACUGUGACUGACGCUGAGGCUCGAAAGCGUGGGGAGCAAACAGG
rnacentral:rRNA from 1 species